UACGUAGGGUGCGAGCGUUAAUCGGAAUUACUGGGCGUAAAGCGUGCGCAGGCGGUUUUCCAAGACAGAUGUGAAAUCCCCGGGCUCAACCUGGGAAUGGCAUUUGUGACUGGAAGGCUAGAGUGUGUCAGAGGGGGGGUAGAAUUCCACGUGUAGCAGUGAAAUGCGUAGAGAUGUGGAGGAAUACCGAUGGCGAAGGCAGCCCCCUGGGAUAACAUUGACGCUCAUGCACGAAAGCGUGGGGAGCAAACAGG
rnacentral:rRNA from 1 species